rnacentral:rRNA from 1 species
CAAUAGCGUAUAUUAAAGUUGUUGCAGUUAAAAAGCUCGUAGUUGGACUUCUGGGUUGUGAUUGUGGUCCGCCUAACGGUGUGCACUGUGGUUGCGACUCUUCUUCCCGUAGUUUGGGGGUGCACUUAGUUGUGUGCUUUUGGAAUAUGGGACCUUUACUUUGAAAAAUUAGAGUGUUCAAAGCAGGCCUUCGCUUGAAUACAUUAGCAUGGAAUAAUAGAAUAGGACUUUGGUUCUAUUUUGUUGGUUUCUAGGACCGAAGUAAUGAUUAAUAGGGACAGUUGGGGGCAUUAGUAUUUAAUUGUCAGAGGUGAAAUUCUUGGAUUUAUGAAAGACUAACUACUGCGAAAGCAUUUGCCAAGGAUGUUUUCAUUAAUCAAGAACGAAAGUUAGGGGAUCGAAGACGAUUAGAUACCAU